rnacentral:rRNA from 1 species
GACGAACGCUGGCGGCGUGCUUAACACAUGCAAGUCGAACGAAGUGGCGAACGGGUGAGUAAUACGUGAGUAACCUGCCCUCCUUUUUGGGAUAAGCCUUGGAAACGGGGUCUAAUACCCAAUAAAGGGGGAUGGUCUCGCGGCCUAUCAGCUAGUAGGUAGGGUAAUGGCCUACCUAGGCAACGAGACAUCGCCGACCUGCGAGGGUGACCGGCCACAUUGGGAAUGGGAUAAGGCCCAGACUGAUACGGGAGGAAGCAGUGGGGGAUAUUGGACAAUAGGCGAAAGCAUGAUGCAGCGACGCCGCGUGGGGGAUGAAGGGUUUCGGGGUGUAAACAUCUUGCGCUAGCGAACGGGUAGGUGGAGAAGAAGCGCCGGCUAACUACGUGCCAGCAGCCGCGGUAAUUC